rnacentral:misc_RNA from 1 species
CUGAUUCGUACUUGAAUUUUUCCAGCUCUGCAGAAUUUAUUUGGUUUUGUGAGAGCUGGCACCAUCACUGGAAAGAAUUUCAGAAAUUGAAAAUCUAAGGCUUGAAGGGAAAUUGAAAGUUAGUUGGGUCUUGUAUUGUGGGAAGCAAACAGUUUGGUGUUUUAGUUUAGUUUAAUUCACUUUUGUGAUCAAUCGAGUUGGAUAAGAUGGG